CCGAUGGAUUAGGUGCUGCUGG
rnacentral:miRNA from 1 species